rnacentral:rRNA from 1 species
GGGUGGAAUUCCACGUGUAGCAGUGAAAUGCGUAGAGAUGUGGAGGAACACCGAUGGCGAAGGCAGCCCCCUGGGCCAAUACUGACGCUCAUGCACGAAAGCGUGGGUAGCAAACAGGAUUAGAUACCCUGGUAGUCCACGCCCUAAACGAUGUCAACUAGGUGUUGGGAGGGUAAAACCUUUUAGUACCGGAGCUAACGCGUGAAGUUGACCGCCUGGGGAGUACGGCCGCAAGGUUAAAACUCAAAAGGGAAUUGGACGGGGGACCCGCACAAGCGGUGGAUGAUGUGGAUUAAUUCGAUGCAACGCGAAAAACCUUACCUACCCUUGACAUGUCCGGAAGCCCUUAGAGAUUUGGGUGUGCUCGAAAGAGAGCCGGAACACAGGUGCUGCAUGGCUGUCGUCAGCUCGUGUCGUGAGAUGUUGGGUUAAGUCCCGCAACGAGCGCAACCUUGUCGUUAAUGCCAUCAUUUAGUGGCACUUUAACGAGACUG